ensembl:lncRNA
AUGUAUACACUCACUUCUCAGAAAGGUAUAGACAUGAGUGUAACACAGUUACAGAAAACUGACACCAGAAAGUAUGAAAAUACAAAUCUUGUAAAUCUUUGGCUGUUCGGGAUUGAAGCAGCAUUUCUGUAUAUAUGUAGACUAUUUUUAUGUUUAUGCUUUUCUAGUAUGUACUUCGACCCCAUGGAGUGUGGCCAGCUAGGCUCCUCUGUCCAUGGGAUUCUCAGGCAAGAAUACUGUAGUGGGUUGCUAUACCCUCCUCCAGGGGAUUUUCCUGACCCAGGGGUUGAACCUGAGUCUCCUGCAUCUCCUGAAUUGGCAGAAGGAUUCUUUACCACGAGCGCCACUUGGGAAGCCCAUUGCCUCAUAACUGAAUGCUGCUAUUAAGGGGUGGAAUGAAGUUAGAAUUUGAGAACCAAGUGGCAGGUAUCAUGCUAUGAGGUAUUACAGUGAGAGCAAGCAUGCCUUUGAUAAAUUCAAGCUCCAAAUACUCUAAGUGAAGCUAAAGAGGGGAAAAUCUCCCUCAGGAGAAAUAACACCAUUUGGCACCCUAUCCUACCACUGGAUUCACGGUUGAGGCCAGUGGAGAAGUAAACAUUAUAAAUAUUAAUAAACAUUAACAGGCUGUGUAUCCAUGCUGGGGUUGAAGGAGCAAUUCCUGCGGCCUUAAGGGAGGCACCUCAAUCAGACUAAGUGGAUGCUCCUUAAACCAGAGUAACUCCCUGGAAAUACUUGGCACCACUGGGAUUAUGCUGAUGAUGGCCAGACUGUGGUUUAGCCUUGCAUGUGAUCUUACAAGGCUGACAACAAAAACAUACCAAUUCUUUGUCACCCAGAUCUCAUUAAACUGAUUCAUAACCAAUCAAUCUUUACGGGAGAAAAAAAACUCAGGUUCAGUGGGCACUGACUUUUUUCUUAGAAUCACUCUUUUAAGUUACUAUCUAAACUCAUACUAAGGGGACAGAGGUCAUUGGGCUUUGAACACUUGGUUUCUAAAUUUAAUUUCUCCCAGUGGAAAGGCCUAACUAAAUUUUUUAAAGACCACAGCCUUCCCUUUGACUAUGAGGACACUAUUAGUGAUGCAUCCCCAUGUUCCACCCCGCUGCAAUUAUGAGGAUUCACUAACAACUGAUUGGUUGCAACUAAUACUGUGAUCUGUGAGCAUGCAGAGCUUGAAAUGAACUGGUUCACUAAUCAAAUCUCUUGACUUGACCAACAUGUUGCCGUAAUCAACUGAGGCUCAAUAAAUUCACGAAAGAUGUGUAAGAACAUCUCAUAACUUGCAUAACAUAUCAAGGGAAUGUUUUCUCCAAUUAGUAAAACUGGUAGAUUAUAUGCUUUAUUGUAACACAUGUAAUCUAAAGCAAUGGUUCCCAAAUUUAGCUGCAUUGAAGAAUCACCUCAGACUUACCAAAUCAUAAUCUACAAGAGGCAUUAUGUUUUUGUUUUGUUUAAAGCUCCCUUAAGAAACUAUGGUGUGCAGUCAGGCUUUAAACAUUGAAGCAGUUGUCAUUCCUCUUCUGGAACCGCUUUUAAAAGCUACUGCAACCUUUCACUCUUCUGAGAAUGGAUUGAAUUAUUUUUUAAUCAGCUCAAGUCAGUUUGGUGAAUUAGAUGUCUUACUACAAAUUUCAAUAAUACUAAUUUCGGUCAAAGAAUAGUAAGAAUGCUCUUCUUAUGAGUACUGUAAAAUGCCUAAGGGCGAAUUUUUUUAAGUGAUACUAUAAACAUAGUAUUUAUAGACUUUCUUAAGGGCCUUCUCCUUCCACCUCCCCCCUCACUCAGAAGUUGCAAUAGCUUUUGACAAUCUCUAGUGACAUACACUGGCUGCUGACUGCUGGAACUACACUGCAGUCCUAUUCCUCACUCAAUUCCACGCCCUUUAGGUGAGUUUUCUCCCUCCACUUACAAUUCUAUUCCAUUCAAUUAAAUAAAAUCAGUCCAGUGGCUAUCUUUUUUUAAUACAGAGGAUAUCACAUCAGGCAGGAAAUAAAAGAUUAAUUCUAGAGAUAUUGAUACAUCAGUUCUAUGAACUUAUUAUAGACAAAAAGAAGUCACAUAUACCACAUACAGUGAUAUGCACAGCUGAUAAUUGCCAAUUUUUCUCUUGUGCAGGAUCUAUAGAAGUUUCACAACAUCAGAUUCUCCACAGAACACUUUCAGAAGAAGCCAACACAAACUUUCACCAAAAUACUCACCAAAACAAUCACCUUUCGGAUCCAAAUCCGUCAAGUUCUGUCCACUGCCUGCCGAAACCACCGAGGACACACCAACACUCACUGGAAGCACGGGGUUUGGACUCAGAAACUCAGGCCUGAACUCCUGCACCUCAUUAGCUCUAAGUGGGCUCGUGAGUUUUUAGAUCACUAGUUCUGAGUUUUUUCCCAUAGGAUGUUGAGUCAAGAGGACAAAAAUAAGUAUUUAAUACCGUCUGGAGCAACCCAGCAGUUGAUCUGCAUUUCCCACUUUUUACCUAGUUAAAAAUCAAAGGUCAAGUGAUUUCAUUUAUAAAAGUAUAAAAUAUACAUAACCCUUAUACCAUAUUGUCAUCUCUCCCUAGUAUGAAGUAUGAAUUUCAUAAAGCUCAAUUCUUCUAAGACUUUCUUUCAAAUCAUUUCGUGAUUAUUGUGCACAUUCAUCUGAGAUUUACUGAGUGCCUACACCCACCACAUGCCAGACAUUAUGCUGAGGCAUUUCCUCAAGAAUCACAACUACAUAAAGAAUUUUAAGGCUUAAAAUUUUAAUUUUCCCACACUGUAAAAAUUCCUAUAGUUUUAUGUAUUAUUUGAACUAUACUUUACCUGAAUAUUGAAAUUUGACAGUUUCACUGUGACUAAAACGUUAAGAUUACUCUGAGCUCUUAACAUACAGAGUUAUUUUGGUGUGGCUUAUUGGAGGUUCAAUAACCUCAAUACUGAGGAUCAAAUCACUCAGAUGACUCAUUCACAAACAAACUGGCUAUAUCUAAAAAUUAUUAAAUGAAUGGGGUUUUAAGUUGUUGUAACUGCUCAUGUUUCUCCAAGUUAGCUUCAUGACCAUUAUUACUUGUUAAUUUUUAGGUCUCCUUUUACUUCUGGCUAAAUGAUUUGGUACAGGACAGGCAUACAAAAAGUAAAGUGUUUCUUUAAAUCCAAGAUUUAAUUUUAAAUAAAGCAUCUAUCCAUGUUGCCCACUAUAAUAUAUAAGAAAUUCACUGAGACUCCAGAAUAGCAGCCAUUACCUUCCCUAUCACCCUUCCUACUAAAAACUGUGACCAACAAAUAAUGUUCAGUCGCUUAGUCUAUCUGUGACCCCAUGGACUGUAGCCUGCUGGCUCCUCGGCCCAUGGGAUUUUUUCCAGCCAAGAAUACAGAGUGGGUUGCCAUUUCCAACUCUAUCAACAAAUAAUAUAGACAAUAAAAAAGUCUUUUAAGUUCCACGCUCAUGGGUAACAGCCUUGUCCUGGUGAAGGGGUUGGUGCAACUCAUGAAGCUAUGAGCCAUGCUGGGCAGGGCCACUCAAGACAGACCAGUCUAGUGAAUUCUGACAAAUCAUGGUCCACUGGAGGAGGAAAUGGCAAACCACUCCAGUAUUCUUGCCGUGAGAACCCCAAGGACAGUAUGAAAAGGUAAAAAGAUGUGACACUGGAAGGUGAGCCCCUCCAGGUCGGAAGGUGUCCAACAUGCUAUUGGGAAAGGUGGUGGUUUAGUCGCGAAGUCGUGUCCAACUCUUUUGACCCUGUGGACUGUAGCCUGCCAGGCUCCUCUGUCAAUGGGGUUCUCCAGGCAAGAAUACUGGAGUGGGUUGCCAUUUCCUCCUCCAACUGGGGAAGAAGGCAGGGUGAUUAAUUGUAACUCCAGAAAUAAUGAAGUACCUGGGCCAAAGCAGAAAUGACUCAGUUGUGAAUGUGUCUGAUGGUGAAAGUAAAGUCCAAUGCUGCAAAAAAUAAUAUUGCAUAGGAAUCUGGAAUAUUAGGUCCAGGAAUCAAGGUAAUUUGGACAUUGUCAAGCGGGCAAUGGUAAGAGUGAACAUCGACAUCUUAGGAAUCAGUGAACUAACAUGGACAGGAAUGAGCCAAUUUAAUUUAGAUAACCACUGUAUCUACUACUGUGGGCAAGAAUCCCAAGAAACGGAGUAGCCCUCAUAGUCAACAAGAGUCCAAAAUGGAGUAUGUGGGUGCAACCUCAAAAACAACACAAUGACCUUGGUUCAUUUCCAAGGCAAACCAUUCAACAUCACAGUAAUCCAAGUCUAUGCCCCAAUCACUGAUGACAAAGAAGCUGAAGUUAAGCAGUUGAAGAACUAGAACACGUGCACACACACAAAAUGUCCUUUUCAUCAUAGGUGAUUGGAAUGCAAAAGAAAGAAGUCAACGGAUACCCAGAACAGCAGCAAGUUUGGCCUUUUGAGUACUAAAUGAAGCAGGGCAAAGGCUAACAGAGUUUUGUCAAGAGAACAUGCUGAGUGUUCGUUAAGAACACUUUUCCAAUAACCAGAGAUGACUCUAUACAUGGACAUCAUCAGAUGAUCAAAGUAAAGUCCAAUGCUGCAAAAAUAAUAUUGCAUAGGAAUCUGGAAUAUUAGGUCCAGGAAUCAAGGUAAUUUGGACAUUGUCAAGCGGGCAAUGGUAAGAGUGAACAUCGACAUCUUAGGAAUCAGUGAACUAACAUGGACAGGAAUGAGCCAAUUUAAUUUAGAUAACCACUGUAUCUACUACUGUGGGCAAGAAUCCCAAGAAACGGAGUAGCCCUCAUAGUCAACAAGAGUCCAAAAUGGAGUAUGUGGG